UGUGAAGUUAUCAGUACCAGACUGUUUUGCUUCAAUCUGCAAAAGGAGGGUGUGAAGGUGAAAAGCCAUACAAGUGUACCUGGGAAGGCUGCGACUGGAGGUUCGCGCGAUCGGAUGAGCUGACCCGC
rnacentral:sRNA from 1 species